rnacentral:misc_RNA from 1 species
UUUAGCAUGAAGAUGCUGCAGAGUUUGGAAAGCAGUCUCAGCCUCAACAAAACGCAAACGUUCUUCUUGUACACAAGUCCACAACGUUCCCAGUUCCUUCUGCUUUUCUGUAAGCUCUUGAUUUUGCACACCCAUCUUCAGUGUCAGAGAUUCCAGCUCAGAAUGAAGAGAUUUAUUGGAUUUUUCUAACAAAAGGCAGCGCUCUUCUGCAUCUUCUAACUUGGCAACUCCGUUAUUGAUCUCUGCAUUCAACCUUUGGGCCUCCUCUUUGGCACAAGAAAGCUUAUGCUCUAGAGUGGAGAUGGUUUCCAAGCAUUGCUGGAGCUGCAGAGCUGCAGCUUCUUUCUCCCCAGUGAAUUUUAGGAUUUCUUGUUUGAGAAAUUCAAUCUCAUUUUCUG